GGUACAAUUUUACAUUCAACAUGAGACGGAAGUAGGGUGCGUUUCCAAUUGAAGGUUAAUCCAAGGGAGAAAAAAAGGAUGAAAAAAGAUACUCUUACUUGGGACUUUCCUGAUGGUGCAAUGGUUAAGAAUCGCCUGCCAAUGCAAGGAACAUGGGUUCGAUCCCUGGUCCGGGACGAUCCCACAUGCCGCAGAGCAGCUAAGCCCGUGCGCCACAACUACUGAGCCUGUGCUCUAGAGCCCGUGAGCCACAACUACUGAGCCCACGUGCUGCAACUACUGAAGCCCGCGGACCUGGAACCUGUGCUCCACAACAAGAGAAGCCACCACAAUGAGAAGCACGCACACCACAACGAAGAAUAACCCCCUCUCACUGCAACUAGAGAAAAUGCCCGCGCGCAGCAAUGAAGACCCAAC